rnacentral:rRNA from 1 species
GGUAAUACGGAGGGUGCGAGCGUUAAUCGGAAUUACUGGGCGUAAAGCGCAUGCAGGUGGCCUGUUAAGUCAGAUGUGAAAGACCCGGGGCGUUAACCUCGGAAUUGCAUUUGAAACUGGCAGGCUAGAGUCUUGUAGAGGGGGGGUAGGAAUUUCAGGUGUAGCGGUGAAAUGCGUAGAGAUCUGAAGGAAUACCAGUGGCGAAGGCGGCCCCCCUGGACAAAGACUGACGCUCAGAUGCGAAAGCGUGGGGGAGCAAACAGGAUUAGAUACCCCUGGUAG